GAGUAACAUUCGGAAACGGAUGCUAAAACCGCAUAGGUCCUUUAACCGCAUGGUUGAAGGAGGAAAAGAGGCGCAAGCUUCUGCUGAUGGAUGGACCCGCGGUGCAUUAGCUAGUUGGUGAGGUAACGGCUCACCAAGGCCGUGAUGCAUAGCCGACCUGAGAGGGUGAUCGGCCACAUUGGGACUGAGACACGGCCCAA
rnacentral:rRNA from 1 species